rnacentral:rRNA from 1 species
AUUGAACGCUGGCGGCAGGCUUAACACAUGCAAGUCGAGCGGAGAUGAGGUGCUUGCACUAUCACUUAGCGGCGGACGGGUGAGUAAUGCUUAGGAAUCUGCCUAUUAGUGGGGGACAACAUUUCGAAAGGAAUGCUAAUACCGCAUACGUCCUACGGGAGAAAGCAGGGGAUCUUCGGACCUUGCGCUAAUAGAUGAGCCUAAGUCGGAUUAGCUAGUUGGUGGGGUAAAGGCCUACCAAGGCGACGAUCUGUAGCGGGUCUGAGAGGAUGAUCCGCCAGACUGGGACUGAGACACGGCCCAGGCUCCUACGAGAGGCAGCAGUGGGGAAUAUUGGACAAUGGGCGGAAGCCUGAUCCAGCCAUGCCGCGUGUGGGAAGAAGGCCUUAUGGUUGUAAAGCACUUUAAGCGAGGAGGAUGCUACUUUAGUUAAUACCUAGAGAUAGUGGACGUUACUCGCAGAAUAAGCACCGGCUAACUCUGUGCCAGCCGCCGCAGUAAAAC